rnacentral:rRNA from 1 species
AUACGUAGGGGGCGAGCGUUGUCCGGAAUGAUUGGGCGUAAAGGGCGCGUAGGCGGCCCGGUAAGUCUGGAGUGAAAGUCCUGUUUUUAAGAUGGGAAUUGCUUUGGAUACUGUCGGGCUUCAGUGCAGGAGAGGUAAGUGGAAUUCCCCGUGUAGCGGUGAAAUGCGUAGAGAUUGGGAGGAACACCAGAGGAGAAGGCGACUUACUGGACUGUAACUGACGCUGAGGCGCGAAAGUGUGGGGAGCAAACAGGAUUAGAUACCCUGGUAGUCCACACUGUAAACGAUGAAUGCUAGGUGUAGGGGGUAUCGACCCCUUCUGUGCCGCAGUCAACACAAUAAGCAUUCCGCCUGGGGAGUACGGCCGCAAGGUUGAAACUCAAAUGAAUUGGCGG